AGUUUGAUCCUGGCUCAGGACGAACGCUGGCGGCGUGCUUAACACAUGCAAGUCGAACGAUGAUGCCAGCUUGCUGGUGGAUUAGUGGCGAACGGGUGAGUAACACGUGAGCAACCUGCCCCUGACUUCGGGAUAACCGCGGGAAACCGUGGCUAAUACCGGAUAUGACGCGCUAUCGCAUGGUGGUGUGUGGAAAGAUUUAUCGGUUGGGGAUGGGCUCGCGGCCUAUCAGCUUGUUGGUGGGGUGAUGGCCUACCAAGGCGACGACGGGUAGCCGGCCUGAGAGGGUGACCGGCCACACUGGGACUGAGACACGGCCCAGACUCCUACGGGAGGCAGCAGUGGGGAAUAUUGCACAAUGGGCGCAAGCCUGAUGCAGCGACGCCGCGUGAGGGAUGACGGCCUUCGGGUUGUAAACCUCUUUCAGUAGGGAAGAAGGCCUUCGGGUUGACGGUACCUGCAGAAGAAGCGCCGGCUAACUACGUGCCAGCAGCCGCGGUAAUACGUAGGGCGCAAGCGUUGUCCGGAAUUAUUGGGCGUAAAGAGCUCGUAGGCGGUUUGUCGCGUCUGCUGUGAAAACGCGAGGCUUAACCUCGCGCCUGCAGUGGGUACGGGCAGACUAGAGUGCGGUAGGGGAGACUGGAAUUCCUGGUGUAGCGGUGGAAUGCGCAGAUAUCAGGAGGAACACCGGUGGCGAAGGCGGGUCUCUGGGCCGUUACUGACGCUGAGGAGCGAAAGCAUGGGGAGCGAACAGGAUUAGAUACCCUGGUAGUCCAUGCCGUAAACGUUGGGCACUAGGUGUGGGACCCAUUCCACGGGUUCCGUGCCGCAGCUAACGCAUUAAGUGCCCCGCCUGGGGAGUACGGCCGCAAGGCUAAAACUCAAAGGAAUUGACGGGGGCCCGCACAAGCGGCGGAGCAUGCGGAUUAAUUCGAUGCAACGCGAAGAACCUUACCAAGGCUUGACAUACACCGGAAACAUCCAGAGAUGGGUGCCCCGCAAGGUCGGUGUACAGGUGGUGCAUGGUUGUCGUCAGCUCGUGUCGUGAGAUGUUGGGUUACGUCCCGCAACGAGCGCAACCCUUGUCCUGUGUU
rnacentral:rRNA from 1 species